rnacentral:tRNA from 1 species
GUGGGUGUAGCUCAGUGGUUAGAGUGCCAGGUUGUGGCCCUGGAAGCCGUGGGUUCAAGUCCCACUACCCACCCCA